GAUGAACGCUAGCGGCAGGCUUAACACAUGCAAGUCGAGGGGUAGAAGCAGCUUGCUGCUUUGAGACCGGCGCACGGGUGCGUAACGCGUAUGCAAUCUACCUUUUACAGAGGGAUAGCCCAGAGAAAUUUGGAUUAAUACCUCAUAGUAUGUGAGAAUCGCAUGGUUUUCACAUUAAAGUUCCAACGGUAAAAGAUGAGCAUGCGUCCCAUUAGCUAGAUGGUAAGGUAACGGCUUACCAUGGCGACGAUGGGUAGGGGUCCUGAGAGGGAGAUCCCCCACACUGGUACUGAGACACGGACCAGACUCCUACGGGAGGCAGCAGUGAGGAAUAUUGGACAAUGGGCGCAAGCCUGAUCCAGCCAUGCCGCGUGCAGGAUGACGGUCCUAUGGAUUGUAAACUGCUUUUGUACAGGAAGAAACACUCCCUCGUGAGGGAGCUUGACGGUACUGUAAGAAUAAGGAUCGGCUAACUCCGUGCCAGCAGCCGCGGUAAUACGGAGGAUCCAAGCGUUAUCCGGAAUCAUUGGGUUUAAAGGGUCCGUAGGCGGUUUAAUAAGUCAGUGGUGAAAGCCCAUCGCUCAACGGUGGAACGGCCAUUGAUACUGUUAAACUUGAAUUAUUAGGAAGUAACUAGAAUAUGUAGU
rnacentral:rRNA from 1 species